UUGCUGAGCCCAGUGUGGCGCCCCGCGGUGUUAACGCGGCGGCACCGCCAGGCGGCGCUGUUCGCACACGUGCAAUGCGGCCGUGGCACCGCUCGCUGCCGCCUGCCGCCAGUUCCGGGUGCGCGCAUGCGCAGAACGGUCCGCCCGGCGCGGCUCUCCCCGCCUGGCGCAUGCCCAACGGCUCCUUGGUGCAAUCCUGCCUGGAAGCUGUUGUGGUAAACCCAGGAAAUCUCUGUGUUUCUUAAACCUUUGUCACUUGCAUCAGACCUUGGGAAGGACAUCAGCUUUGCUGCGAAGUUUGUGUAUCCUUAGGAUGAAGCUUGUAACACUUUGGAUAGAUGGAACGAGUCCUUCCGCACCCCAAACUGGCACAGAAUGAAUUUCCUACCUGCCCAUUUUCUACCGCUGCAGCGGUGUCUAUGUCAAUAGAGCAACUGAAACGCAGAACACACCUCGAUGGGUAAUGUAUAUUUGUCAUAUUUCUCCGAUUCCCAAUAUAUGCAACAGAAUUCAUUCUGCUUGUGUGAAUUAUUGAAGACGGUGUUAUUUUAAACUGAAGUCACGGUUGUGUGUAUGCACCACUGCAGAUAAUUGUGAGGAGGUGAUAAUUGUGCUGCGGCUCCUGGACCACGACGGGUUGUUCCUUGGCUGAGCUUGAAGGGACUUGCCGGGCAUCUCUUGGGAGCUGGUUUGCCGUGUCGCAGUGGCACGUUGGGGCUAAAACACCCCAGCAGGACUUCUGUGUUAUGUCCCUAGCGCCAGAAAUGCUCAGGCUGAGCCCGGCAGAUCCAAACGCGCGGCGUGGGGAAGCGGCCAAGAGCUUGGCCGCCGUCCUGGGCUCCGAGCGGAGCGCGGCCCCGAGCUCAGCGCCGUGGCAGCCGUCCACAUGGAACGUGACGGCGUUGGAGAGCUGCACCUCUGCGAUCCCCAGUUCCAGGAAUGUUCUAGGAAGUGGGCAGAAUCCUACUGGUUUUGGUGAAAGUUGGAAAAAGCCUUGAGAUUUCCCCUCGGGGUCUCUCCGCGCGCCCGUGUGGCACAGCAGCCCGUGGUGUUCGGGUGAUGUUUAGGGGUCCGAGACCCUCUGCCCCCCAUUUAACCUGUUUUCCUCUCUUUAUUCCCUUUCGUUCACCUAAACCUCUUUCUCUACAGCCAGCAGAAAAUGGGCUUUUCUACUUAAUACCAAAAUAAACACAUUACUAUCCAACGGGGAGGGAAGAGAGAAGGGGGAGAGUGUGCGGCUCAGUUGUAAAAGGAGCAGAGUGGCAGAGAGUGGUACGUCCCAGCCUGGGGAGUUCUGGAGGUGAUAAAGUAAAAUACCAAUGGGCUCAGCAGAGCUGGGAUGGGACUUGAGUCCUUUUCCAGCUCCUACAGCCUUAGGAGGGUUAAUUGAGGGAUUUCUUUCCCUUUUUACUUGGGCAGAGAGUACGAAACCAGUGCUGAGCAUCUGGGGUUUGUUCCAGGGCACUUCUUCUUAGCGAUGGGGAAAACACAAGUAACUGCAGCAGAUUCAUUUCCCUGCCUACGAACAAGACGAUGUAACAGGAAUAAAACGGGAAACGGAAAAAGAGGCUGGUGGGGGCGAAGGGUCUUGCAGUGGAAUGGCAGAGCGUGGAAAUCUCCAGGAAUAUUCUGGGCAUCUGAAUAUUCUCUCUGUCUUAGUCCGGGUUUCAUCCACCCACUAGGAGAGAUUAAAAUCGUGCUCUUAUCUGUUGGGAAAUUGCUUGUGAGCACCAAGAAAGCAUGAAGGACUUUGAAGAAUCCGACUCUAGAGGCUGAAGUUGUUUAAGAGGGAAGAUUAGAUAAAAUAUUUUGGAGCAUAUGGGGCUCCUUGACCACUCCAUUGUUGCCCAUCCCCGGCUGUCAGACCCUGAGCGAUCCCAGGAGGAGUUAAUAGAGACCUGGGCAGGAGCCAAGAGCUCUUGCCGGCAGCUUAUCUGCCCCACCAAAAUAUCUGAUGUCUGUGGCUACGGACAUGCUAUUGUCCUCAUAAAACACAACAAUAACGACAAAACAAGCACUGCUAUUCACUGCUCAGUAUUAAAAAAAAAAGGGCAGUGGAAAUGUAAGAAUAUUUAUUAAAAUGGAACCAUGUGUUUCACAUAGUCCCAUCUUCAUAAGCUUAUGCGCAUCGCAUGGAUGUUUAUGUUCUGCUCUGGUGUGUGAGGGGUUUUUUCCACGCCUGUUAGUGAUUAGCCGGAGGGAGCCGGGAUGAACUCAUGUCUCCAGUGAGCGGGACCAGGAAACCCGGGUGAUACGCAGCUGCGGGAGGGACACAAGCGUCCUGCAGAACCGACUCACUCGUGUCCCUGCGGAAACAGCCAGGGAAACGCAGGAGACGGGGCUGAAAGGACACGGGAAAGAGAGGAUUCCAAUGGAAAAACAAAAGAGGAGACAAUUGUCCUCUGGCUCGUUGCAGUAAGUGUGAAUUCAAGCUGUGGAUUGAGAAUCUUCUCUGGAGAUGUUCCUUAAAGCUGACGUGGAUCUGCAGCGAUCCUGUCCGGUUUGGGUUCACAGCGGCCAGCAUGGAGAUGGCUGUGGCCACUGGCCCUGGGUGUUCAUGGCUUCACAGAAUCCCAGGAUGUCAGGGGUUGAAGGGCCCUGGAAAGCUCACCCAGUGCAAUCCCCCAUGGAGCAGGAACACCCAGAUGAGGUUACACAGGAAGGUGUCCAGGCGGGUUGGAAUGUCUGCACAGAAGGAGACUCCACAACCCCCUGGGCAGCCUGGGCCAGGCUCUGCCACCCUCACCCCAAACAAGUUUCUUCUCAUAUUCAAGUGGAACCUCCUGUGUUCCAGUUUGCACCCAUUACCCCUUGUCCUGUCACUGGUUGUCACCAGAAGAGCCUGGCUCCAUCCUCCUGACACUCCCCCUUUCCAUAUU